rnacentral:rRNA from 1 species
AGUGGCGCACGGGUGAGUAAUAUAUAGCUAACCUGCCCUUUAGUGGGGGACAACAGUUGGAAACGACUGCUAAUACCCUAUACUCCUUCUUACUAUAAGGUAAGUUGGGAAAGAUUUAUCGCUAAAGGAUGGGGCUUUAUUGUAUCAGCUAGUUGGUGGGGUAAUGGCCUACCAAGGCUAUGACGCAUACCUGGUCUGAGAGGAUGAUCAGGCACACUGGAACUGAGACACGGUCCAGACUCCUACGGGAGGCAGCAGUGGGGAAUAUUGCACAAUGGAGGAAACUCUGAUGCAGCAACGCCGCGUGGAGGAUGACGCAUUUCGGUGUGUAAACUCCUUUUAUAGGGGAAGAUAAUGACGGUACCCUAUGAAUAAGCACCGGCUAACUCCGUGCCAGCAGCCGCGGUAAUACGGAGGGUGCAAGCGUUACUCGGAAUCACUGGGCGUAAAGGAUGCGUAGGCUGGAAAUCAAGUCGAGAGUGAAAUCCAACGGCUCAACCGUUGAACUGCUCUCGAAACUGGUUACCUAGAAUAUGGGAGAGGUAGAUGGAAUUAGUGGUGUAGGGGUAAAAUCCGUAGAUAUCACUAGGAAUACCGAUUGCGAAGGCGAUCUACUGGAACAUUAUGAC